rnacentral:lncRNA from 1 species
CUUGGAGUUGGGGUCCAGAUCUCCCAGAUGAGGCUUCAAACCUCGCCUUCCUUCCAUCAAAGGGCCUGCUACCGGGUCCCUUCCAUGGGGUUCCUCGCUCCCUCCGGCUCAUCACAGUUGUAGUGAGAGGUUACAGACUGGGCUAUUCCGGGGAUUUUAAAUAGAUGGUAACACUUAGGCUCUUCUAUUCUUGCAUGGUGUUUGUGGUGUGUGGUGAGAAUGGGGGCAGGGCCACGUCUCAGGGAGGAACUCAGUCGAGUGUCAUGCAUACAGACUGGUGUUAACUUCAGCUCUAUUAAACAUCUUUAUUAAUAAUCCAGAAGUGGGGUAUAAACAGAACAUUAAUUAAAUGCCUGAAUACUAAAUUGGGAGGUGUUACAAAAGAUGGACUAAUCACUUUAUCAUUUACUCAGCAUGCAGAACUUGUAUAAUUUGUUGUAUUUAAUGGAUAAAAGUGGGACAUUUCUUUGUUGACAACUCUAUUGGCUCUGUGUGUAGCGGGCAUUUUGGUUGAGUUUCUUUAUGUGCAUAUUCUUAUUUCUUGCACCUUUCUAUUUAGGUUAGUUUCAGGAUGAUGAGUCAUCCUAUUUGUAUAUUAAGGAAUCAAGUAGAAUGCAAAUGUUUUGGAAGAGUGAGGUGGAAUAAACAGAAGCAAGAACAGAGAAUAACAUGCAGUAGUGGAGGCCAGCUGAGUCGAUUGCUUGGAGACCCAAGUCCUCUCUCCUGACUCCUGUGGGGUCUGUUCUGUUUUCUCAGACUGCACCUGUUCUUCUAGCAAGUGAAGUGCCUCACGGAGUUACCUCUUUGGAAGGGCUUGCUAAGAGCAGUCUUAAACUCAGCACAUACUUUAUUCCAUGGCCUUACUUUAGACUUUCCAGGAGCUCAUCUGGAGGGUCCGUGCAGGUCACAGAGGUUAACAUGGCAUUCAAGGCGCCAUCAGUCAGCCUAAAAUACCUUACAGAGGCAAAUGUUCCAGGAAACAGACCUCCAGAAAUGCACAGGUAAGAUGUGACCCUCGAGCAGUUAUGACCAGGAAGGCUGACAAUUCUCUGAAUCCAAAGAAGAAACCCUCUAGGCAGAUGAAUACGGAGUGAGACUAAGCAGUGUGAGGCAGAGCUGGGCAUGAAGAAAUGGAACGUUCAGACCAGCCUGGUUGAGAAAUCACUCUGAAGACACCCACACUGCAAGUGGCAUCCAGCCUCUGGUGAAUGGGGAUUUGAUAUUUAUGCAAGAACUGUGGAAGCCGGAUAGGUAGAGAGAUGGACACAUAUGCAUGUAGAUAGCUACACAUGCACGCAUAUCAAACGGGGCUUCACUGCUAAGAGCAGUGUUCGUCAUUAUCAUUUCAUCUCUCGGUGCUGUGUUUCUCAGUUAUUUGUCUGUCUUUUACAAAUAAGCCUUUCUAAAUUUUAUUACUGAGUUAGAACUCAAAGAAAAAUUUUUUCAAGAUGUUGGCCCUAGAAUAAACAAGGCAGUUUGGCAGCGUCCUCAACGGACUCCUGCUUCCCUAAAACACAUGACA